rnacentral:rRNA from 1 species
AUUGAACGCUGGCGGCAUGCCUUACACAUGCAAGUCGAACGGUAACAGGUUAAGCUGACGAGUGGCGAACGGGUGAGUAAUAUAUCGGAACGUGCCCAGUCGUGGGGGAUAACUGCUCGAAAGAGCAGCUAAUACCGCAUACGACCUGAGGGUGAAAGCGGGGGAUCGCAAGACCUCGCGCGAUUGGAGCGGCAGAUAUCAGAUUAGGUAGUUGGUGGGGUAAAGGCCUACCAAGCCUACGAUCUGUAGCUGGUCUGAGAGGACGACCAGCAACACUGGGACUGAGACACGGCCCAGACUCCUACGGGAGGCAGCAGGGGGGAAAUUUGGACAAUGGGCGCAAGUCUGAUCCAGCCAUGCCGCGUGCGUGAAGAAGGCCUUCGAGUUGUAAACCGCUUUUGUCAGGGAAGAAAAGGUUCUGGUUAAUACCUGGGACUCAUGACGGUACCUGAAGAAUAAGCACCGGCUAACUACGUGCCAGCCGCCGCCGUAACAC